GUCGAAUUUGGACAGGCUGGCAAAGGCGACAUGGUUUACAUCCAUGUUCAGGCCCAUGCCGAUCGCAUCGGUCGCGACGAGGUAAUCGACU
rnacentral:tRNA from 1 species